AUUGAACGCUGGCGGCAGGCCUAACUCAUGCAAGUCGAACGAGUGGCGGACGGGUGAGUAAUGUCUGGGAAACUGCCUGAUGGAGGGGGAUAACUACUGGAAACGGUAGCUAAUACCGCAUACCCUCAGAUGUGCCCCGAUGGGAUUAGCUUGUUGGUGGGGUAACGGCUCACCAAGGCCACGAUCCCUAGCUGGUCUGAGAGGAUGACCGGCCAAACUGGGACUGAGACACGGCCCAGACUCCUACGGGAGGCAGCAGUGGGGAAUAUUCGACAAUGGGCGAAAGCCUGACGCAGCAACGCCGCGUGUAUGAAGAAGGUGUUCGGCUUGUAAAGCACUGUCAGAGGGGAGGCGGUACCCACAGAAGAAGCACCGGCUAACUCCGUGCCAGCAGCCGCGGUAAUAC
rnacentral:rRNA from 1 species